CACGUAGGGGGCAAGCGUUGUCCGGAUUUAUUGGGCGUAAAGAGCUCGUAGGCGGUUUGUCGCGUCUGCUGUGAAAACUCAGGGCUUAACUCUGAGCUUGCAGUGGGUACGGGCAGACUAGAGUGCGGUAGGGGAGACUGGAAUUCCUGGUGUAGCGGUGAAAUGCGCAGAUAUCAGGAGGAACACCGGUGGCGAAGGCGGGUCUCUGGGCCGUAACUGACGCUGAGGAGCGAAAGCAUGGGGAGCGAACAGG
rnacentral:rRNA from 1 species